AAUAGAUACCCUGGUAGUCCACGCCGUAAACGAUGAGUGCUAAGUGUUAGAGGGUUUCCGCCCUUUAGUGCUGCAGCUAACGCAUUAAGCACUCCGCCUGGGGGAGUACGGUCGCAAGACUGAAACUCAAAGGAAUUGACGGGGGCCCGCACAAGCGGUGGAGCAUGUGGUUUAAUUCGAAGCAACGCGAAGAACCUUACCAGGUCUUGACAUCCCACUGACCGGUAUAGAGAUAUACCUUUCCCUUCGGGGACAGUGGUGACAGGUGGUGCAUGGUUGUCGUCAGCUCGUGUCGUGAGAUGUUGGGUUAAGUCCCGCAACGAGCGCAACCCUUGAUCUUAGUUGCCAGCAUUUAGUUGGGCACUCUAAGGUGACUGCCGGUGACAAACCGGAGGAAGGUGGGGAUGACGUCAAAUCAUCAUGCCCCUUAUGACCUGGGCUACACACGUGCUACAAUGGAUGGUACAAAGGGCUGCAAGACUGCGAAGUCAAGCCAAUCCCAUAAAACCAUUCCCAGUUCGGAUUGCAGG
rnacentral:rRNA from 1 species